CGAAAUACCGUUAUCAAAUCAAUUCCAAGAAGUUGCAACACUGCUACAUUUUUACAAAGCCAUCAAGUUGACAACAUUGUAGCGACAACAAAUCAAUUAUUGUGAUUGAAUUGUGCUCAGUUGGCGCAGAAAUAAACAGCAAACAAACAUCGUUUUUCAAACUAAAGUUUUGAAAUAUUUUGCUUUUCUUACUGUCUAAUCAUGAAAAUCGAAGAAAUUAAAAGUAGCGUUCGCACCCAACGGAUUUCUGAAUAAAGCCAUAUCAAAGGUUUGGGUAUAAAUGACGAAGGUGUCCCAUUGCCCAUGGCCGCUAGUUUGGCUGGACAAAAAGCUGUCCGAGAAGCCCGUGAUAUAGUUGUGAAUUUGACGAAAAAAAGAAAAUGGCAGGUCUUGCCUUACAGCUGGAGGUACAAUGCAAUUGCUCUAGGUAUUGCCCAAAAAUAGGGCACUAAGGUAACAGUCUGUCCCAUGCUGAGUUCGGAGAUGUUCAGCAGCAAAAUAAGAAACAUGGUGGUUCUUAUGUAAUUUUUUUUGCAAAAGAAGAACUAGAGUUAGGGCCUUUGCAACGAAAUUUGAUUUGGAGACCCAGGGUUGGUUGUAUUUGACACCACAGACAUGCAAAAUAUUCCAGAACUUUAGUCUAUCUGCUGUUUAUUUCUGUGCCAACUGAUCACAAUUCAAUUUAGUCACAAUAAUUGUUUAUUUGCGGCCACAAUGUUGUCAACUUGGUGACUUUGUAAAAAUGUAGCAUGGAUGCAACUUCUAAUUGUCAAUGCUGCGUGUGGUUACGUGUGGUAAUGGUACAAUAAAAAGGAAAGGUAGAGCUACCAGCUGAUUAAAAUUUUUUUCUAAGAGUGCUAGGAAGAAACUUAAAUUGCGGGGCGCGCAAUAAUGAUAUUAAGCAGAUUUGCCACGGAAUUGAAGGAUUGGCCAAUUAGGAUCAUAUGUUUGAGAGAACAUCCAGCAUUUCAUUCGCCUUUCGCAUAAUUUAGCUCUUUUAGAAAUGAACAAAAAAUAUCAAAUAAAUAAAAACAACUUAUUGGAUAUAAUUUUGAAUAAUUCUGACAGCGCUUUAUUUCUGUAGUUUUAUGAAGCUGUUCUGCCUCCUUAUUGUACCAUGCUUUGUACUUUUUUAAUAACAAAAAUAUUUAAAUGUACACCCAACAAAAACAGUAUUUAAAAAUAUUGUGUUGAAACUUAUGUAUCAAAUAUAUGUUCUCAAUAUUGCUGUU